UGCCUAUAGACUUUUCCGCGCGCGUCUUACAAACCACUCUAAUCUACUAAUCCGUGCCCUAAACUCCAAUUCCAUUCCAGGUAAUCCACCUAGAAGGUUAAAACGUAACUGGAACCGUGACCUAUAAUAGCCCUCUAUAGUCAGUAAGUGUUGCCGCUGGGUGAUUACUUCCUCAUGUCGAUCUCGCCUUUUUUAUUUUUAUUUUAUUUAUUUUUUUUUUUUUCCAUAAUUCCUCAAACAUGCUUAUUGUAAAAAGUAUUUACAGAUUGUAUGUAUUAUAAUUAAAAUUAAAAAAAAAA